UGUCGAGAGACUAAAUUAAGUUUUAAUGCAGUAGAUAAGGACAUUUUCUAUUCAUAGAUGUGCGUGGAGACGCGGUCAUCCCUUGUCGUGAUUUCUGAUUCGAGAAAUGGCAUUAGCAGCACUCCCUCUAUUCUCAAAUCCUCCAUGCCGUUGCUCUUCUUCACAUUCCCGUCAACCCUCAAACUUUUCCACUCAUCUUCAAACUCAGCCCUUUAUCUUUCCACUCACCAAAUCACAACCACCAAACAACAACUAUCUCCUUUUCCAAUUUCGGCCCUCCAUCCACUGCCGCUGCAGUUCCCACACUCCCAAUCUCGACUUCCAAUACGUCAGACUUGUCACUUUGUUUCAAGAUAUCGGUAUCAGCUUUGAGGAAGCCAAUUUGCUCUUGAGCAAUGCUUCCGAACUGACCUCGAUACAACUAGAUUUAUUGCGGGAUCGCAUUCUUUCUUUAAAAUCUCUUGGGUUAGGUCGUAUGUCCAUCAAUCACAUAGUUACAAAGCAAUUAAAUAUGCUAACUUCAAAUGAAAUUGACCCAUUGUUAAACUUUUUGAGAUAUGAAUUGCAAGGACAGGUUAAGGAAGCUAAGGUGAAACGUCUUUUAUCGGCUAAAGAGCCAAAAGAAUUAUCUGAUUUUCCUCAGAAGGUUCAAUUGCUUAUUGACAGUGGAAUUGGGGUUGAUAAGAUUGCACAUGUGCUUAACAAAGUGUGUUUGUCAAAGGCAAUUUGUCAUAGGUCAAUGGAAGAAAUUGAAAGAGUAAUUAGUUUCUUAAAACCAUUCGGUGGUGUUGAUUUGAUUCUGAAGCACCCUGUGCUUCUCAACCAUGAUUUGGAUAAUAAGCUGAAACCGAGAUUCAGGGUUCUUACUGAGUUAAGUGGCGGAGAUGAGGAUAGUGUUGGGAAAGUGGUGAAUGUGUUCCCUCCGAUCAUGAAUUUAAGGACAGAACGUCUUGAAGAACAAAUAGAGUUCUUGAGGUCUUUUGCAGAACUUGAUGAUCAACAAAUAUUUAGGAUAGUGUUGGUGUAUCCAUCUAUUUUCAAUAGUAAUAGAGAGAGGAAACUGCGUCCUAGAUUACAAUUUCUCAAGGAUUGUGGGUUAGACUCGGGCGAUAUCUUUAAAUUCUUGAUCAAAGAACCGACUUUUUUGGGCAUUUCGUUCCGCAAUAACCUUGAGUGUAAGCUUUUGUUUUUGGUCAAGAUUGGGUAUAAAUAUAGGACAAAAGAGUUGGCAAUGGCGGUUGCGGCUUCUACUAGAACAAGCUGUGGGAAUAUGCAGAAGGCGGUGAGUUUAUUCUUGAAUUCUGGGUUGUCGUCCGAAGACAUUUUUGCUAUGUGUAAGAAGCGUCCACUGAUACUCCAGUAUAAUCACGCCUCUCUAGAGAAGAAGAUUAAGUAUUUGACGGAGGAGAUGGAUCGUGACAUUCAGGAGUUGUUGGAUUUUCCUGCAUUUCUUGGAUACAAGUUUGAUGAGAGAAUUAAGUAUAGGUAUGAAAUAAAGAAGGAUUCAUGCGGGGGACAAAUAUCUCUCAAUCAACUUUUAACUGUUUCAAGUGAGAACUUCAGUGAUAGGCCAAAAAAGACUUCUGUAAAAUCUAAAUUGGAAUAAAGGGAUAAUGUAGUCAAAAUGGGAGGAGAGAAGCCUGUAAAGAAACUGAAGGUGUGAUCUAAUGCUUAAUCCCAAAAAAGAGCGUUUACAAAUCAAGAAAGGAAAACACAUCUCCGAUUUUUUAAAUAAAAGCAGCAGCUUAUCAAUAAAACAUAGGAACAAGAACAUAGUUUAACAAACGCCAAGAGAACCAGACAAUAAUCCAGGUCUUUACAGGUCGUUUUACAUGAGAUACAAUAUUGGUUGCGGAAAGCAAUGGUGCAGGCUUCACAUUGGUACUAUUUUAUGGUGCCACUACUGGAUUUCCAUUGAAAACUAAUCAAAUAAAAAACUAAUUUUUGCCGAGUGUUAUUAACAUGCAUUUGCAGUGUUAAUAAACUUAGCUUCGUAAAUGUCUUCCAUUUUUCAUAACUUGAAACAUUCUUUACACGA